rnacentral:rRNA from 1 species
UACGAGGGGGGCGAGCGUUGUUCGGAAUUAUUGGGCGUAAAGGGUGCGUAGGCGGUCGUGCAAGUCGGAUGUGAAAUCUCAGGGCUCAACCCUGAAACUGCAUUCGAUACUGCGUGGCUAGAGUGCUGGAGAGGAGACUGGAAUUUACGGUGUAGCAGUGAAAUGCGUAGAUAUCGUAAGGAAGACCAGUGGCGAAGGCGAGUCUCUGGACAGCAACUGACGCUGAGGCACGAAGGCCAGGGGAGCAAACGGG